rnacentral:rRNA from 1 species
UCCAGACUCCUACGGGAGGCAGCAGUGGGGAAUAUUGCACAAUGGGGGAAACCCUGAUGCAGCGACGCCGCGUGAGCGAAGAAGUAUUUCGGUAUGUAAAGCUCUAUCAGCAGGGAAGAAAAAAAUGACGGUACCUGAGUAAGAAGCACCGGCUAAAUACGUGCCAGCAGCCGCGGUAAUACGUAUGGUGCAAGCGUUAUCCGGAUUUACUGGGUGUAAAGGGAGCGUAGGCGGCGCGUUAAGUCUGAUGUGAAAACCCGAGGCUCAACCACGGGAGUGCAUUGGAAACUGGCGGGCUGGAGUGCCGGAGAGGUAAGCGGAAUUCCUAGUGUAGCGGUGAAAUGCGUAGAUAUUAGGAGGAACACCAGUGGCGAAGGCGGCUUACUGGACGGCAACUGACGCUGAGGCUCGAAAGCGUGGGGAGCAAACAGGAUUAGAUACCCCUGUAGUG